rfam:Camelus ferus isolate Naran unplaced genomic scaffold scaffold83632, whole genome shotgun sequence.
GUGGGUUUAGCUCAGUGGUAGAGCACAUGCUUAGCAUGCAUGAGGUUCUAGGUUCAAUCCCCAGUACCUCCA